UAACAGUCUACAGCCAUGGUC
rnacentral:ncRNA from 7 species